UUUUAUUAGAUCAAAAGCAAUCAGACCACGUGUCCAUAUUACGUGUUGACUCUGAGUAACUUUUUGUUGAUCGCACGGGCGUAUCCGACGUAUCUUUCAAGUGCCUGCCUAAGGUAACUGCCGAUGGUAAGUUACGUGCUUAUCGUGGCUGUAACGGAUGACGGGGUAUCAGGAUUCGAUUCCGGAGAAGAAGACUGAGAAAGGGCUACCAAUUCCAAGGAAGGCAGCAGGCGCGUAAAUUCCCCAUUCCCCAAACGGGGAGGUAGUGACUAAAAAUAACAAUAUGGAACACUUUUGAGAUUGCGUAAUAUGUGCACACUAAAUCCUUUAAUGGGGAUUAAGUGGAGGGCGAGUCUGGUGCCAGUGGCCGUAGGAAUUUCAGCUCCAAU
rnacentral:ncRNA from 1 species